CUGAAUUCUCUAUUCACACUAGCAAGAAAAUAUCCUGGCCUACUCGUUAACUAGUGAUUCCGCAACUCGGUGUCCUGGCCUACUAGUGGUGGUCGAAAGCGUUACAGAACAUUUCCGAACACGGGUUUGGUCAGAAUCAAUCGAACUGCAUCAAUUACUCCGCCACCAGCUUCCCUAAAAUCAUCCUCAUUGCCACUACAGUCUACAUACAUAUCUCUAGUAUUGCAUCGGUAAGGGAUUGUUGGCACCCAUUUCGAAAACGGUGAACAAGGAGAGGGUGCAGAGCCAACAAUAUCUUCACCGUGUGGGGCGGUGGGUCAUGACACAGACAUGUGGCAGAAGCUAAAAACGGACACAAAUUGGAAAACCUAAAUUGUGUGUGUGUGUGUAAAAAUAAAAAUAAAAAUAAAUAAAAUGUAGUAGAUACAUGAGAAGAAGAAGCAGACCCAAUUUGGGUUGUGCCGGCGAAGUGACUGGAGCUUUGUGGGUCUCCAUUGCGAGUUUCCGAUAGCUUCGUUCGGGUAAAGCGGCUUCACCGGUGCCGGAGAUUUCAUGGAAUCUGAUUUUCUUUGCUCGAAGCUGAAUUUGGGGAUUCACAUCGAUUGGUGAACACAGGUUUCAAAGGAGACCAAAAAGCUCUGAUUACAACGGAGUCUUUGGAUUAUGCAGCGUUGCUCCAUAUCUCGAUAUCUGAUGUGUUGUUGUUCAUGGCUUCUGGCUCUGAUUAAUGCGUAUGAGUAAUUUUAGAGAGAGAGAAAGAGAAGGCAGUAGGGGUAGAGAGAGCCAUGGCAGAAGAGAGGAAGAGAGAGCGUGUUUUGGUAUUAUUGGAAUUUUGUGAAUAUCUAGGGCUAUUAACGUCUUUUUAGUGAGCCAAUAUCAAAGUUUUAUAUACCAUUCUAACCAUUAUAUGUUGAUAUUAUAAAUGAAAAGGAAAAAUAACAAAACCUUCCUAUAUUGUUAAAUAGUAUAAAAAAUCUCACCAAAAAUUAAAAAAUAUUAUCAAAUUACUUCCAAAUCGAUAUAAAAUAAUAAAAUUAUUUUUAUAAUUUAAUUAUUAAAUUUAAAAUUUAUAAAUAAUAUUAUUAUAAAAUUACAAAAAUACGUGAGACCCUCAAUACCAACUCCUCCUUCCUAAAACUCUCACCACAACACUCAGAUGCUCUGCUCAUCCAAUCAUAUCUCUCCACACUCAGAUGGCUAUCAUUGUUAUUACUCUGAGCCCCACACAGAGAGAGAGAGUGAGAGAGACUGUUUGGUUUAAUUGCAAGAAGUGAUCUGUGAGCAGAGGAAGCAGAGGAAUAGAGAUUUAGAGAGAGAGAAAGAGAUGGGGCUCCUUACCAACAGAGUGAAAAUAAAUGAGAUCAGACCAGGCGACCAUAUCUACACUUAUAGAGCUUAUUCUCAUCACGGUAACCACACUUUGUCUCUCUACUUUCUCUCUCCGCACGUAUUCUCUCUGUACUGUUGACCCAACAAUGAUGAUUUUCAAGAACCUUCUCUGAAACAUGCAAUGUACUUUUUUUUUUUUUUUCCGGAAAAUGGGUAAUUUAAGUUUUUUUUUCUUCUAUAUUCGUUUUAAUUAUUUACCUGGUUCAUUUUAACUUUUAGAAUCUAUGGCGAAUGUGCAAUUGGAUAUUAGGGUUUUCCUUUUUAUGUUUUUAUUUUUGUGGUUAGUAUAGGGUAUUAGGGUUAUCUUCACAAUUUCUGAGUUGUGUUUCAUCGAUGUCUGAUAUUGGCUAAAAUAAAAAAAAUGUUUCAUCAUGAUGUCUGAUAAAGCAUCAAAAUGUUUAGUUGCCUAGGAAUGGGUUUCUUUGAGGGAUUUGGUGAAUAAAUGUACUCUUCCUGAGUCUUCUCCCUCAAGGAGGUGUUGAAGGGAGAAGAAUCGGGUAUUUUUUAAAUUUUAUAAUAAUAUUAU